rnacentral:rRNA from 1 species
AACGAACGCUGGCGGCAUGCCUAACACAUGCAAGUCGAACGAGACCUUCGGGUCUAGUGGCGCACGGGUUCGUAACGCGUGGGAACCUUCCCUUAGGUUCGGAAUAACUCCCCGAAAGGGGUGCUAAUACCGGAUAAUGUCUUCGGACCAAAGAUUUAUUGCCUUUGGAUGGGCCCGCGUUGGAUUAGCUAGUUGGUAGGGUAAAAGCCUACCAAGGCGACGAUGCAUAGAUGGUCACAGAGGAUGAUCAGCCACUCUGGGACUGAGACACGGCCCAGACUCCUACGGGAGGCAGCAGUGGGGAAUAUUGGAAAGUGGGCGAAAGGAUGAUGCAGCAAUGCCGCGUGAGUGAUGAAGGCAUUAGGGUUGUAAAGCUCUUUUAACCGGGAUGAUAAUGACAGUACCGGGAGAAUAAGCCCCGGCUAACUCCGUG